GAUGAACGCUGGCGGCGUGCUUAACACAUGCAAGUCGAACGAUGAAGCCCAGCUUGCUGGGUGGAUUAGUGGCGAGCGGGUGAGUAACACGUGAGUAACCUGCCCUUAACUCUGGGAUAAGCCUGGGAAACUAGGUCUAAUACCGGAUAGGAGCGCCUACCGCAUGGUGGGUGUUGGAAAGAUUUAUCGGUUUUGGAUGGACUCGCGGCCUAUCAGCUUGUUGGUGAGGUAAUGGCUCACCAAGGCGACGACGGGUAGCCGGCCUGAGAGGGUGACCGGCCACACUGGGACUGAGACACGGCCCAGACUCCUACGGGAGGCAGCAGUGGGGAAUAUUGCACAAUGGGCGCAAGCCUGAUGCAGCGACGCCGCGUGAGGGAUGACGGCCUUCGGGUUGUAAACCUCUUUCAGUAGGGAAGAAGCGAAAGUGACGGUACCUGCAGAAGAAGCACCGGCUAACUACGUGCCAGCAGCCGCGGUAAUACGUAGGGUGCGAGCGUUAUCCGGAAUUAUUGGGCGUAAAGAGCUCGUAGGCGGUUUGUCGCGUCUGUCGUGAAAGUCCGGGGCUUAACCCCGGAUCUGCGGUGGGUACGGGCAGACUAGAGUGCAGUAGGGGAGACUGGAAUUCCUGGUGUAGCGGUGGAAUGCGCAGAUAUCAGGAGGAACACCGAUGGCGAAGGCAGGUCUCUGGGCUGUAACUGACGCUGAGGAGCGAAAGCAUGGGGAGCGAACAGG
rnacentral:rRNA from 1 species